GAUCCUGGCUCAGAACGAACGCUGGCGGCAGGCUUAACACAUGCAAGUUGAACGGGAUUUGUAUGGUGCUUGCACCAUGUAAUGAGAGUAGCGCACUGGUGAGUAACACGUGGAACAUACCUUGAAGUGGGGGACAACAGUUGGAAACGACUGCUAAUACCGCAUAAUCCCUGAGGGGGAAAGAUUUAUCGCUUUAAGAUUGGCCCGCGGAAGAUUUAGGGUAGUUUGGUGGGGUUAAAAGGCCUACCAAGCCGACG
rnacentral:rRNA from 1 species